GUCUGUCGCAAGUGCUGUCCUGGAAAUCUCCGUGGCACCAUGAUAUUUGUCAUUUGUGCCACUGAUGUCUUGGAGAGGAUUUUUACAGGUAAAAAGGCGACAUAACGAAGCCCACUCUGAGGACGUAUGCCAAGGAUGAGACGCAUUUUCGAGCUGUCACUUUGCUGGUCAUUUCACCCUAAUUGGGACAUCACCGACCUGCUUUCCCUGAAAAUAUGUCAUGGUUUGCCCUUGUAAUUAUGCUGUACCUGUCAAAGGCUGUAAUAUCACACCAAACAACUCAACUUUUGCUUAUUUUACCAACAUGAAGCAAAAUUGUUAUGCUAUGUGACCUUAUGUGUUCAUAAUAUAACACCAUUUUGAAACCCC